GUAGGUGGCAAGCGUUGUCCGGAAUUAUUGGGCGUAAAGCGCGCGCAGGCGGUCCUUUAAGUCUGAUGUGAGAGCCCACGGCUCAACCGUGGAGGGUCAUUGGAAACUGGGGGACUUGAGUACAGAAGAGGAAAGCGGAAUUCCAAGUGUAGCGGUGAAAUGCGUAGAGAUUUGGAGGAACACCAGUGGCGAAGGCGGCUUUCUGGUCUGUAACUGACGCUGAGGCGCGAAAGCGUGGGGAGCAAACAGGAUUAGAUACCCUGGUAGUCCACGCCGUAAACGAUGAGUGCUAAGUGUUAGGGGGGUUUCCGCCCCCCUUAGUGCUGCAGCUAACGCAUUAAGCACUCCGCCUGGGAUACGGCCGCAAGGCUG
rnacentral:rRNA from 1 species